ensembl:lncRNA
GUGGGGGGAGAGGGAGCAUUCUACAGUCCUAUGAUUAGAUCUCUUAGGGUGCCUAUUCCUAUAGACUGUGAGCUUCACAAGUGUUUCUCAGUUUUUUUCUCCCCUCUUAGGUGGGAAAGAAUGGCCAGAGAGGGCUGGAGUUGGGUAUUUCCCUUCCCCACGUGGAAGACUAGAGCCAGAUGGAGUUGGUUAUUUCCCUUCCCUGGGUCAAUUAGGCUCUGAUAAUACCCCAGCAGGUUAUGCUGUGCUUAACUAGUUUCCCCUGAUGGCAGGCCUUGUUAAGAAGAUUAGAGUACUGUGGCCUGUUUCAAAAUGGUUCCUUUUCCUCCUGCCCCUGUCAGAAGACCAAAGGGAUUUUUCUCGGACAAUUUCUAUGGGAACCUGGUCGAGCUCCUGAAGGCAAAUUUCACAAUACUGUGGGGGCCCCCAUGACUGGGUCCCCCUAGGGUUUUUAACUCUCAGACUUGUCUGCCCUGAGCCUCUAGUAAUUCAUCAAAUACGGUGCAGGUUUUCCUACCCCGUCACUGGCUCCUACAGUGGUUUCUGCUCCUGAGUCGGCCCUGAUGAUCAUGAGCAAGAAAUACCCCAAAGUGCACAGAAAGAAGAAAAAAUAAGAUGUUUGAAUAAUUUACAGAAUGGAAUAUAACCCAGAAUUUAUUUGAGUCUUUCCUGCUUCUCUGAGAUCUUAGUAAACUUCAAUGAAACUUCUACUUUCACUUUUUACCGAAUUCGGUAAUCUCCACAUUAUCUUUGUGAAUUCUCCAACAUAGUUACUUACAUUAUGGGCUAACUGUGCUCCUUGGUCCUGUGAAGUCAAUUGACUCUGCCCUGUGUAAGACUUACACAAAAGCAUCAAUCCUUCACCUAUUUCCAGAAAACCGUUCAAUAACAUUUGGCCUUUGUGAUGAAAUAGUUUAUGAUUGAAGAGUAAGUGAAAGAAAGGCGAGAGGAUUCACGACUUGGAUCUUGGAAUUAUCCAUCAUUUUACUGCCACAGUCAGUUUCCUUAUUUGAGCCACUGUAAAGUGUGACCAGCCCAAGAAAAUGCUGUCUGCUGGUCUGACAUCUUGUGCUCUGCUGCAAGGAGCAGGAAAUAAGAAGAAAAUAUAUAAUACUUAUUUACUUGUAUAAUCCAGACACUUCAGUCUUAGAAGUCCAUGGAUCCUGCUCGUCUUUCUUCCUCCUAAGGAUUACAUUUUUGCUUUUUCUUUAAGAAUUAGGAAAAAUCUAUCUUUCCCUAAAUUCCUUCCUGGAGAUUGCCUCCUGGCUAGACCUCAUGCCCUUCAUAAAUUGAAAUGCCUAGUCCAUCUUCUGGAGCACUAGUUCCUGUCAUUUGGUCUCACAUACUAGCACAACCAGCAAGUACUUGUUCUGCAUUAUAAGCAGCAUUUAGGGAUAUCUGAGUAGUAAUGAAAUGUACAGGGUCAAAUACAAAAAGCGGUAUCGUUAUUAGAUGUUGCCCAUCAGGCAGAAUGAAUUCUGAGUUUAAGUCAUCUUUCAUAAUUCUUUCAUCUUCUCAGACAGAGCCCAUCAAUGUCUCGGGCUCCUAUUGGCUAGGCAACAGCAUCUUCAGGUGGGAGCCUGGCCUCCCUAGGACCCCUCCCCAGACCACGUGCCUUCUAUAGGAGGCGAAUCAGUAGUAGCAUGAGUUUAUACUCAAAUAGGUCGGAUUUGCUCUGCACUUCACUCCCGCCUUGUUGAGACAGUAUAUUCUGCUGGAGCAGGUUAAUAUUUUCUUCCUUGCAAUUCAGCUUCAAGAUGGCAAACUCUAUUAUGCAAGAUUGAAUACUGACUCAUCCACUUACUAUGUGACCCUGGUUAAUUAACUUACUCUUUUUUGACCUCAAUUCCAUCACCUAUAAAAUCAUCAACAUUGUUCUUGCUGCUGCAAAGACAAAUUCUACCCUCUGAAAAUUCCAACUAAUCCCUUGCUUUUUUUUUCUGAAAUCUACCCCAUAUAUAUAUAUAUAUAUACGAUCUUCUUGACACUGAGGGAUAGUAACAUUGAGUUCUUUUUAUGGUGACACCUGUUCUUAUAGAAAAAUAAAAAUAUUAGAAAGCUUAUUUUAAUCUGAAUUCCAAAUUGUCCUGGAUGACAUUUCUAACAAGAGGGGCAGGGACUAUCUAUUUCCAUCCUCAGGUGACUUAGCGGUACACACAUCACCUUUGGCUCACCAUAUUAAGCUUGAUCUUCCAGCAUCCGUUAUUACCUCAGCCAUGUGGCCUUACUCACUGAGGGCAGAAGGAAUUGAUUCUCCUUUGAUUUUUUUCUUCCCUAAGGGCAAUAAUUGUGGGAAGGGAGAGGUGCGGGUAAGAUGGGAGAAUCAUGUCUCUUGUACAGCUUUUCUAAGAACACUUCUAUGUUAGCCACUCCUGAAAUGACAAUGUAGAUGGGCCAGUUUUGCCAUUUUUGCAAACUGCAUGUAUGACAAAUAUCUCUCCUAUGAUCCAUGAAUAUAAGUAUAUUUUUUCAUCCUUGUUGACAAAGAAUCUCAAGGUGAAUAGUAUAUUAGCUUCCAUCUAAAUUACCACAUACCCCUUCAAAUGCUGUUAGGAAUUCUGCCCUAAUUUACUGAUUUACAAUCAUCUAUACUCACUAAUGCAGGACCUAGCCUUAGACUCACUCAAUUCUCUUUCUCCAACGCUUGGAUUGUCGGCAACAUUUCAGCAUCCUAUAGUAACCACUACUCAAAAUCCUCUUCUCCUGUUCCUACAAAUGCCUCUGGUUUCUUUCUUCUCUACCGAGUUUCAAUUCUUGCUUGAUAGCCAGCCACAUAAUAGCAGUCUUCUCUUCAGGAAAUUCUGUCGCGGCAGAUGAAAAAACCUACUCAAAUGUGCCAAGAAUGACAAUUUGUUAAAACCAUUUUUAAAAAUAUAUUCUCUACCUCCUCCUCC